rnacentral:rRNA from 1 species
UACGUAGGGGGCUAGCGUUGUCCGGAAUCAUUGGGCGUAAAGCGCGUGUAGGCGGCCCGGUAAGUCCGCUGUGAAAGUCGGGGGCUCAACCCUCGGAUGCCGGUGGAUACUGCCUUGCUCGAGUACUGGAGAGGAGACUGGAAUUUACGGUGUAGCAGUGAAAUGCGUAGAUAUCGUAAGGAAGACCAGUGGCGAAGGCGAGUCUCUGGACAGUUACUGACACUGAGGCACGAAGGCCAGGGGAGCAAACGGG